rnacentral:rRNA from 1 species
UACGUAGGGACCAAGCGUUGUUCGGAUUUACUGGGCGUAAAGGGCGCGUAGGCGGCAUGGCAAGUCACUUGUGAAAGCCCCCGGCUCAACUGGGGAGGGUCACGCGAUACUGCUCGACUUGAAGGCAGGAGAGGGAAGUGGAAUUCCCGGUGUAGUGGUGAAAUGCGUAGAUAUCGAGAGGAACACCUGCGGCGAAGGCGGGUUGCUGGGCUGACACUGACGCUGAGGCGCGAAAGCUAGGGGAGCGAACGGG